UACAGAGAGGGCUAGCGUUGUUCGGAAUGACUGGGCGUAAAGGGUGCGUAGGCGGUCUUUUAAGUGAGGUGUUAAAUCCCCGGGCUUAACCCGGGUUCUGCGCUUCAAACUGGAAGACUCGAGUGUGGUAGAGGAAAGUGGAAUUCCUAGUGUAGAGGUGAAAUUCAUAGAUAUUAGGAGGAACACCAGAGGCGAAGGCGGCUUUCUGGACCAUGACUGACGCUGAGGCACGAAAGCGUGGGGAGCAAACAGG
rnacentral:rRNA from 1 species